CGUACGUACUUGUGUGGGGGUGUGCACGUGUACGUGGAAAUGCAUGUGUGUGCAUGUACAUGUAAGUGGGAGCACAUGCGCGUGCAUGUAGCUAGAGUAUGUGCGCACACGUGUGUGUACGUGCACGUGCCUGUGUGCAUACGUGUGUGUGCACGUAGGUGGGAGUAUGCAUGUGCGCAUGUGGAUAUACUGUAUGCACGUGUGCAAGUACACGCGUGUCUGUGCAUACAUAUGUGUGCAUGCAGGUGGGAGUGUGCAUGUGUGUGUGUAGAUAUGCCAUAUGUGUGCACUUGUGCAUAUACAUAUGUGACACACGGUUCGUACAUAUACAUUGUGUGCAUGUGUGUACAUGUGCGAGAAUGCACGUGGGUAUGGAUGUGUGGACGUGUGCAUGGAAAUGCAUGUGUGCAUGCACAGGUCUGUGUGUCCGUGCACGUGUGCGUGUAGGUGUUUCUGUACAUGUUCACAGGUGGGGGUGUGUGCACAUGUACACGAAUGUGUAGGUAGGUGCACGUGGCACACGUACAUGAGUAUGUAGUAGGUGUGCGGGCACAUGUACAUGCAUGUGUAGUAGGUGUGUGUGUGCACACGUACAGGAGUGUGGUGUGUACAUGUGCAUACAUAGAUGUGCACGUGUGCGUGUACAGGUCCAGGGGCAGGUCUGCGUGUGCAAGGAGCUGGCUGUUGACGCCUGGGGUCGACUACGUCCUAUCGAAGACGUGGGGCCAGCGCGGCGCACAGGAUUCAAGCUGUGGGCACCCCAUGGAUUUGCAGAGCAGCUGGAGGAUGUUCCCUGUUUCAUUUUCAAUUCCCUUCUUAAUGACGUGCAACAUUUUAUUGGCUCGUCUGGUCGCUGCGCUGCCGCGGUUGGAGAGCUAUUGACACUGGCUCUAAUGUUCCCGAGUCAUAAUGGCCAGGUCAGGACCCAGCGCCGAGGAAGUCAAGCACGGGUUAUUUUUCCCGGGAGCAUUCCCUUGCACCCGUCAAUGGUGAAGUUCAUCAGCCCAGGUUUUGUCCGCUCACUGAGCUCGGUGAGACCUUUGUGCAGCUCUUUUGCAUCCGCUUGGGACGUGACUCCCCAGAACCAUGUCCUUAUGCCUGAAAAAGGGUGUUUGUGCCCCAAAGCUUGUAAAGAACAAUUUUUCCAACUCUUAUAAAAGAGAUCACGUUGACCCAGGGAA